UGGAUGAAAGCCCCGGCGGGCACAGGAUGGGCCUUCCGGCGUAUCAGGUAGUAGGGGGUGUAAAGUACCCUCUAGCCUUCGACGCGUACUGGUUUGUGAGAGCAAUAGCCCGGAGAUGGAUUCUGAGACACGAAUCCAGGUCCUACGGGACGCAGCAGUCGCGAAACCUUGACAAUGCGGGAAACCGUGAUCAGGGGACUCCAAGUGCCAGGAGUAAGAUCCUGUGCUUUUCUUCUCUCUUCAAAGGAUUAGGAAUAAGAGGUGGGUAAGGACGGUGCCAGCCGCCGCGGUAAUACCGGCGCCUCGAGUGGUAGUCGAUUUUAUUGGGCCUAAAACGUCCGUAGCCGGUCUGAUACAUUCGUGGGUAAAUCAACCAGCUCAACUGGUUGAAUUCUGCGAGGACGGUCAGACUUGGGACCGGGAGAGGUGUGGGGUACGCUCAGGGUAGGGGUAAAAUCCUGUCAUCCUGAGCGGACCACCUGUUGCGAAGGCGCCACACUAGAACGGAUCCGACGGUCAGGGACGAAGCCUAGGGGCACGAACCGGAUUAGAUACCCGGGUAGUCCUAGGUGUAAACGCUGUGGACUUGAUGUUGGGGGUGCUCCGAGCACUCUCAGUGUCGAAGCGAAGGUGAUAAGUCCACUGCCUGGGAAGUACGGUCGCAAGGCUGAAACUCAAAGGAA
rnacentral:rRNA from 1 species